UACGUAGGGGGCAAGCGUUGUCCGGAAUCAUUGGGCGUAAAGAGCGUGUAGGCGGCCCGGUAAGUCCGCUGUGAAAGUCCAGGGCUCAACCCUGGGAUGCCGGUGGAUACUGUCGGGCUCGAGUCCGGAAGAGGAGUGUGGAAUUCCUGGUGUAGCGGUGGAAUGCGCAGAUAUCAGGAGGAACACCAAUAGCGAAGGCAGCUCGCUGGGACGGUACUGACGCUAAGGCGCGAAAGCGUGGGGAGCGAACAGG
rnacentral:rRNA from 1 species